rnacentral:lncRNA from 1 species
CAAAUUAGUGUUGAAGAGAGCAAGGAAUUUGAACAAUAUUAUUAUAUGGACCUAGUAAAAACUUUAAAUCCUGACAUAGGAAGACUUCCGAAUCCAACAUGGAGGAACAAAAUACACCCUGCACCAUGUUCCCUUGGAAUGUCUUCAUUCUCAAUUUCCAAACCUAAUCAUGACAAAGAAGUGAAAGAGGAAAGUGAUGUAAAGUUUGGCUCAACAUGUGACUUACCUGUAGGUAAUUUUUCCAUAAAAACUGUGCCAAGACGACGCAUGCCAGAUUUUACUGCACAAGAAAUAAAGUUUAAAUUACAACAUCAAGGAAAAACGGAGAGCCUUAAUAGUGAGCAAACAUCAACAGCUAAAACAGGAAAGGUUGCUGACAGUAACCUGUCAAAUCCAGAAAGGAAACCAUUUAAUUUAAAACCAAUUUCUAGAAGUGAAAAAGGAAAAAAGAAAAAGUCUAGUUUGCAAUAGGGUUUAUCUGCAGAAAGAUAUAAUGAACAAAAGCAGAUGAGAGUUAAGAAUGCUUAACACUUUUUUUUAUGUUUUUUGGGUUGGUUAUUAAUUUAGAAAACUUUUCACUCUAUAUGUUUGAUUUUAUAUUUAACACAAUUUGUUAACUUUUUCAGGCUUUAAACUUAGAAUUCCCAUACAUAUAUAGAUCAUUAAUUUUGUUGAAUGAUAAUGUCCGAUACAUACAUUGUGUAAUUUUGUUGAAUAAUAAUGUCCGAUACAUACAUUGUGUAUACAUUUAGAAUUCAAAAUGGAUUAACAUCAACAGCUAAAACAUAAAUUGUGAUUGUUGCUAUCCAUUUGAAUCUAUCAUCAGAACGGAAACUGCCUGGUCUAAAUCUUGAAAAUUUCAACAAAUUACAUUCAUACUAAUUUUUUCAUGGCUCAAAAUAUUUUCUCCACUGAAUCAUAUUGUGUGCAUAUGCUAUGGUGAGGGCCAUUAAUAUAUAUAAAAAAGAUUUAAACAAUGUACUUGUUAUGAUUUGGGUUUUUUUUAGAUUCAGAAAAUAGUUUUCUUUUCUUCAAAAAAAACUCCAAC